AUUGAACGCUGGCGGCAGGCUUAACACAUGCAAGUCGAACGAGUGGCGGACGGGUGAGUAAUGCUUGGGAAUCUGGCUUAUGGAGGGGGAUAACGACGGGAAACUGUCGCUAAUACCGCGUACCAUAGGAUGAACCCAAGUGGGAUUGGGGAGUUGGUGGGGUAAGGGCCUACCAAGCCGACGAUCGCUAGCUGGUCUGAGAGGAUGACCAGCAACAUGGGGAUUGAGACAGGGCCCAGACUCCAACGGGAGGCAGCAGUGGGGAAUUUUCCGAAAUGGAGGAAAUGUGACGGGGAAACGCCGCGUGGGUGAUGACGGCCUUCGGGUUGUAAAGUUCUUUCGGUGACGAGGCGUUAAUCACAGAAGAAGCACCGGCUAACUCCGUGCCAGCAGCCGCGGUAAUUC
rnacentral:rRNA from 1 species